UACGUAGGGGGCUAGCGUUGUCCGGAAUUAUUGGGCGUAAAGAGCUCGUAGGCGGUCUGUCGCGUCUGCUGUGAAAACUCAGGGCUUAACCCUGAGCUUGCAGUGGGUACGGGCAGACUAGAGUGCGGUAGGGGAGACUGGAAUUCCUGGUGUAGCGGUGAAAUGCGCAGAUAUCAGGAGGAACACCGGUGGCGAAGGCGGGGUCUCUGGGCCGAUACUGACGCUGGAGGAGCGAAAGCCGUGGGGAGCGAACAGG
rnacentral:rRNA from 1 species